AUACGGAGGAUGCAAGCGUUAUCCGGAUUUAUUGGGUUUAAAGGGUGCGUAGGCGGUUUGCUAAGCGGGAGGUGAAAUGCCGGCGCUCAACGUCGGAAGUGCCUCCCGAACUGGUGGACUUGAAUGACUCUGCCGUGGGAGGAAUGUGUAGUGUAGCGGUGAAAUGCUUAGAGAUUACACAGAACACCGAUUGCGAAGGCAUCUCACGAAGGGUUGAUUGACGCUGAGGCACGAAAGCGUGGGGAUCAAACAGGAGUAGAUGCCCUGGUAGUCCACGCAGUAAACGAUGAUGGCUAACCGCUGGGCUUAUCAGUUCAGUGGCCAAGCGAAAGCGAUAAGCCAUCCGCCUGGGGAGUACGACCGCAAGGUUGAAACUCAAAGGAAUUGGCGGGG
rnacentral:rRNA from 1 species